UACGGAGGGUGCGAGCGUUAAUCGGAAUUACUGGGCGUAAAGGGCGCGUAGGCGGUUUGAUAAGUUUGAUGUGAAAGCCCUGGGCUUAACCUGGGAACGGCAUUGGAAACUGUCAGGCUAGAGUGUGGUAGAGGGGUGUGGAAUUUCCGGUGUAGCAGUGAAAUGCGUAGAGAUCGGAAGGAACACCAGUGGCGAAGGCGGCACCCUGGACCGACACUGACGCUCAGGCACGAAAGCGUGGGGAGCAAACAGG
rnacentral:rRNA from 1 species